rnacentral:rRNA from 1 species
AUUGAACGCUGGCGGCAUGCCUUACACAUGCAAGUCGAACGGUAACGCGGGGCAACCUGGCGACGAGUGGCGAACGGGUGAGUAAUGUAUCGGAACGUGCCCAGUUGUGGGGGAUAACUGCUCGAAAGAGCAGCUAAUACCGCAUACGACCUGAGGGUGAAAGCGGGGGAUCGCAAGACCUCGCGCAGUUGGAGCGGCCGAUAUCAGAUUAGGUAGUUGGUGGGGUAAAGGCCUACCAAGCCUACGAUCUGUAGCUGGUCUGAGAGGACGACCAGCCACACUGGGACUGAGACACGGCCCAGACUCCUACGGGAGGCAGCAGUGGGGAAUUUUGGACAAUGGGGGCAACCCUGAUCCAGCCAUGCCGCGUGCGGGAAGAAGGCCUUCGGGUUGUAAACCGCUUUUGUCAGGGAAGAAAUCCUUUGAACUAAUACUUCGAAGGGAUGACGGUACCUGAAGAAUAAGCACCGGCUAACUACGUGCCAGCCGCCGCCGUAACAC